AACAAACGCUGGCGGUAGGCCUAACACAUGCAAGUCGAACGGCAGCACAGGAGAGCUUGCUCUCUGGGAGGCGAGUGGCGGACGGGUGAGGAAUACAUCGGAAUCUACUUUUUCGUGGGGGAUAACGUAGGGAAACUUACGCUAAUACCGCAUACGACCUACGGGUGAAAGCAGGGGACCUUCGGGCCUUGCGCGAUUGAAUGAGCCGAUGUCGGAUUAGCUAGUUGGCGGGGUAAAGGCCCACCAAGGCGACGAUCCGUAGCUGGUCUGAGAGGAUGAUCAGCCACACUGGAACUGAGACACGGUCCAGACUCCUACGGGAGGCAGCAGUGGGGAAUAUUGGACAAUGGGCGCAAGCCUGAUCCAGCCAUACCGCGUGGGUGAAGAAGGCCUUCGGGUUGUAAAGCCCUUUUGUUGGGAAAGAAAUCCAGCUGGCUAGUACCCGGUUGGGAUGACGGUACCCAAAGAAUAAGCACCGGCUAACUUCGUGCCAGCCGCCGCGGUAACAC
rnacentral:rRNA from 1 species